rnacentral:rRNA from 1 species
UGGGGAAUAUUGCACAAUGGGCGCAAGCCUGAUGCAGCCAUGCCGCGUGUAUGAAGAAGGCCUUCGGGUUGUAAAGUACUUUCAGCGGGGAGGAAGGGAGUAAAGUUAAUACCUUUGCUCAUUGACGUUACCCGCAGAAGAAGCACCGGCUAACUCCGUGCCAGCAGCCGCGGUAAUACGGAGGGUGCAAGCGUUAAUCGGAAUUACUUGGCGUAAAGCGCACGCAUGCGGUUUGUUAAGUCAGAUGUGAAAUCCCCGGGCUCAACCUGGGAACUGCAUCUGAUACUGGCAAGCUUGAGUCACGUAGAGGGGGGUAGAAUUCCAGGUGUAGCGGUGAAAUGCGUAGAGAUCUGGAGGAAUACCGGUGGCGAAGGCGGCCCCCUGGACGAAGACUGACGCUCAGGUGCGAAAGCGUGGGGAGCAAACAGG